rnacentral:lncRNA from 10 species
GGAAGCGGCGUUUGCCGGGCCCGAGCGCCCGCGCGCCCGCGCGCUCUUGCAGAGAGGAAGUGUGAAGUGUGACGGCUGACGAGGAGGGUGGGAGGAGACGAGGGAGUGCUGCAACUCUGGAAAAACAAGUCAGCUCUUCUGUGGAGCUCGUCACGCAUUCACGGGCCUUUUGCUAUCAUUCUGCCUCAAAAUUGUCCGGAAUCCGCCCUCUCCUUCCCAUUGCACUGCUCCAGCCCUAGCCCAGACACCUUCCGCCCCGAGCUUCGCGGGAGUCUGUUCCCUGGGCUCGCCUCGCCCAUCCUCGGUGCUGCGGACUGGAUGAGUUACCGUCCGUUCGGCUGAAAAGCCCGGACAGCACCUCACCUUCGAGAUCCCGCUUCCUUCACACUGGGUCGCCCCACCAGCCGCCUGGGUUCCAGUUUAGCACUGCCGACGACUUGCUGUGCCUGGCAUGUCCUUGCUCCCAAAUGUCACAUCUAUGAAGCCUCACCCUAAAACCCUGUAAGAGCGAUUCCCUCUUUCACCCACAUGCCCGUUAGCCUUUAUUUAGCACACCUUAAAUUGUAUUCAUUUUGCAUCUCAAUCUAGUUCACAGCCUGGUAUAUAACAACUAAUAAAUGUGAGUUGACUGAUAAAGACUAUAAAAUGAUAAAUUUGUUAAGAGCUGUAAUGCUGAGCGUAAUGCCUGGGCAUAAUGGAUGUUCAUAAUUUUCUGAAUGAUAGAAUGGAUGAAUCAUCUAGUCAUUUACAGAUAAGGAAAGGGGAGUCCCACGGGAUUAGGUGACCUUCCUUGAAGAGCCACGGGUUUCCCAUAUCGAAAUGCUAUUCAUUACCCGAGUCACCUAGGUUCUUACAAAGGAAGCGAGAAAAUUGCUUUUGUUGGGCCAUGCCCCUUUUGCAGAGGUUCCUAAGUAUAGUCGCCAGAAUUUUUUUAAUGGCCUAAAGUAAAAAAAGAAAUGCUAAAAUUUUCACGAAGCUAAAUGUAAUCAAUGUAAAGG